UUUUGUUGUGAGAGGGUGUAGAUCUUAAGACAGCAUUGGGGAAGCAAAGAAAAGAUGGAAAGAGUGCUCCUUUACAGCCCCUUACUACUAUGCAACGUACUCAUGUUAGACGCUUGGUCGUCAAACAUGGACAUCACCUCGAGUCCAUGUACCGAGACAGGAAGCUAGACUCGAUGCAGCAUUCGGUAGCAACACCACGGAAGCCGUGCACAAGAUAUCUCGUGUACAAGGAUAAGAAUCCCGUUUUAGUUCCAUGCUGAUGGCAAUUAUGUAUCUCUUCUGCUCAUUUUUGUUAUAAACUUACAACAUAUAUGGUUAUCAUGUUUUUAUAAAUCGAAAAA